UACCGAUUGAAUGUUUCGGUGAAGAUUCCGGACCGUGGCUCGUGCGCUUCACGGCGCGCUUGCCGUGGGAAGUUAUCUAAACCUCAACAUUUAGAGGAAGGUGAAGUCGUAACAAGGUUUCCGUAGGUGAACCUGCGGAAGGAUCAUUA
rnacentral:rRNA from 1 species